rnacentral:rRNA from 1 species
UACGAAGGGGGCUAGCGUUGCUCGGAACGACUGGGCGUAAAGGGCGCGUAGGCGGUUCAUACAGUCAGAUGUGAAAUUCCCGGGCUUAACCUGGGGGCUGCAUUUGAUACGUGUGGGCUUGAGUGAGGAAGAGGGUUGUGGAAUUCCCAGUGUAGAGGUGAAAUUCGUAGAUAUUGGGAAGAACACUGGUGGCGAGGGCGGCAACCUGGUCCUUUACUGACGCUGAGGCGCGAAAGCGUGGGGAGCAAACAGG